AAAGCUCUUUUGUCAGGGAAGAAACGGCGGUUUCUAAUACAGAUCGCUAAUGACGGUACCUGAAGAAUAAGCACCGGCUAACUACGUGCCAGCAGCCGCGGUAAUACGUAGGGUGCAAGCGUUAAUCGGAAUUACUGGGCGUAAAGCGUGCGCAGGCGGUUAUAUAAGUCAGAUGUGAAAUCCCCGGGCUCAACCUGGGAACUGCAUUUGAGACUGUAUGGCUAGAGUGUGUCAGAGGGGGGUAGAAUUCCACGUGUAGCAGUGAAAUGCGUAGAUAUGUGGAGGAAUACCGAUGGCGAAGGCAGCCCCCUGGGAUAACACUGACGCUCAUGCACGAAAGCGUGGGGAGCAAACAGGAUUAGAUACCCUGGUAGUCCACGCCCUAAACGAUGUCUACUAGUUGUCGGGUCUU
rnacentral:rRNA from 1 species